UCAAGCGAACAAGGGCGCAGGGCGAAUGCCUUGGCACUGGGAGCCGAUGAAAGACGUGAUAAGCUGCGAUAAGCUUCGGGGAGCUGCAAAUAAGCAUUGAUCCGGAGAUUUCUGAAUGAGGAAACUCACCUGGGUUCAUACUCAGGUACGUUAUACUGAACUUCAAAAUAGGUAUAUCGAGGGAACCGCCUGAACUGAAACAUCUAAGUAGGGCGAGGAAGAGACAUCAAACGAGAUUCCGUAAGUAGUGGCGAGCGAACGCGGAAGAGGGCAAACCGAGAGUAGAAAUACUUUCGGGGUACGGACUGCUUUUAGGACUCAAUCUGUUAACCGAACGGCAUGGGAAGGCCGGUCAGAGAGUGUGAGAACCACGUAGGUGAAAACGGAGAGAGCUGCGCAGGAUCCAGAGUACGGCCAGACACGUGAAACCUGGUCGGAAUACGGGGGGACCACCCUCCAACCCUAAAUACUACCCAGUGACCGAUAGCGUAUAGUACUGUGAAGGAAAGGUGAAAAGCACCCCGGGAGGGGAGUGAAAAAGAACCUGAAACCCUGUGCCUACAAGCACCUAGAGCACGUCAAUGUGUGAUAGGGUACUUUUUGUAGAACGGUCCGGCGAGCGAUUGUAUGCAGCAAGGUUAAGGACUUAAGGUCUGGAGCCGAAGCGAAAGCGAGUUUGAAAAGGGCGUUAAGUUGCAUAUAAUGGGCCCGAAACCGGGUGACCUACCCAUGGUCAGGUUGAAGUGGAAGUAAAAUUCCAUGGAGGACCGAACCGACCUCCGUUGAAAAGGCGGCGGAUGAACUGUGGGUAGCGGAGAAAUUCCAAUCGAACCCGGAGAUAGCUGGUUCUCCCCGAAAUAGUUUUAGGACUAGCCUCAAGUUAGAUACCUGGAGGUAAAGCACUGAAUAGCCUAGCGGCCGAGAGGUUAGCGAAGCUUAUCAAACUCAGAAUGCCAGAGUAUUGAUGCUUGGGAGUCAGACAGUGUCAGAUAAAUGUCAUUGUCAAAAGGGAAACAGCCCAGAUCUACAGCUAAGGUCCCAAAGUCAGGUUAAGUGGAAAACGAUGUGAAGAUACGCAGACAACCAGGAUGUUGGCUCAGAAGCAGCCACUCAUUCAAAGAGUGCGUAAUAGCUCACUGGUCGAGCGUCUUUGCGCGGAGAAUUUAACGGGGCUAAACCUGACACCGAAGCUUAGGCAAUACAGCAAUGUAUUGGGUAGGGGAGCGUUGUAUACGCGGUGAAACAGUAGCGUAAGCGGCUGUGGAGUGUAUAGAAGUGAGAAUGCCGGAAUGAGUAGCGCGAAUGCAGUGAGAAUCUGCAUGGCCGAAAGCCUCAGGUUUCUGGAGGAAGGUUCGUCCGCUCCAGGUUAGUCGGGAGCUAAGGUGAGGCCGAAAGGCGUAGCCGAUGCACAGACGGUAGAGAUUCCGUCACCACCAAAAGAGUUAAACACAGGGACACAUUUGAAGUCUCGGAGCCGGGUGUUGGUUCCGGUAGCGAUCGAGGGAAGUUAGUACCGAAGUCCGGGAUGGAAGAUGGCGAGAAAAGCUGUGUGUAUUUCUGCGGUGCCCGUACCGCAAACCGACACAGGUAGGUAGGAAGAAGAUUCUAAGGCCAACGGGAGAAGGGUUGUUAAGGAACUCGGCAAAUUGACCCCGUAACUUCGGGAGAAGGGGUGCUCCAGAGAUGGAGCCGCAGAGAAUCGGCCCAAGCAACUGUUUACCAAAAACACAGGUUUGUGCUAAAUCGAAAGAUGACGUAUACGAGCUGACGCCUGCCCGGUGCUGGAAGGUUAAGAGGAGAUGUGCAAGCAUUGAAUCGAAGCCCCAGUGAACGGCGGCCGUAACUAUAACGGUCCUAAGGUAGCGAAAUUCCUUGUCAGGUAAGUUCUGACCCGCACGAAAGGCGUAAUGAUUUGGGCACUGUCUCAACAGCCCGCCCGGCGAAAUUGUAGUACCGGUGAAGAUGCCGGUUACCCGCGACAAGACGGAAAGACCCCAUGGAGCUUUACUGUAGCCUAAUAUUGGGUUUCGAUGUUGCAUGCACAGGAUAGAUGGGACUCUGGGAAACUGAUGCUUUGGCGUCAGCGGAGAGGCCGUUGGGAUACCAUCCUUGCGAUAUUGGAAUUCUAACCUGCGGCUCUGAAUCGAGUCGGGGGACAUUGUUAGGUGGGCAGUUUGACUGGGGCGGUCGCCUCCUAAAGAGUAACGGAGGCGUUCAAAGGUUCGCUCAGCUU
rnacentral:rRNA from 1 species